rnacentral:rRNA from 1 species
GACGUAGGGGCGCGAGCGUUUGUCCGGAUUUAUUGGGCGUAAAGAGCUCGUAGGCGGCUUGUCGCGUCGGCUGUGAAAACCCGCGGCUCAACUGCGGGCCUGCAGCCGAUACGGGCAGGCGUAGAGUUCGGUAGGGGAGACUGGAAAUUCCUGGUGUAGCGGUGAAAUGCGCAGACUAUCAGGAGGAACACCAAUGGCGAAGGCAGCUCGCUGGGACGGUACUGACGACUUGGAGAACGCGAAAGCGUGGGGGAGCAAACAGG